rnacentral:lncRNA from 1 species
CGAACUCGAAUGGCGUGAUCUUCCGCCGCAUACACUCCGUUCCCGUGAUCCGCCUCGCACUCGGGUCGGAAUCAUGCGGCCAGUGGGAGAAUAAAAAAGAGGCAUUGACUCCCUAUGGACCUAUGGUAUGCUACUUUUGAUAUUUAGGGUUAGGGUUUAUGAUCCAGGUUGCUUAAUUCUCAGCUUCUUUUAACUUUUAGCUUUAGGGUUUAUGUGUAAAUGUAGUGCAAAUUGGUUCGUUGAUUGAGUAUAAUUUCUCAUCAUAUAUCUCCGAGUCCUUAGCACGUAUGUAUUUCAAGGAGUUUUCGUAAACUUUUAAAAGACGAAUUUUAUAAAAACUAACUGGGAUGCUAAAACCACAAGGCAAUUAAGCAGGUUGGUGGUAUAACUUCUAGAUUACCAAUAAGCAUCUCAAUAUUUAUCCCAUGUGCACUGAGUUUUUUGGCUUGUCGAUGUCGUUAUCUCCUCUUCUUUUCUUUCAUUUUUUGUUUAGUUUGUAUUUGACAUUAAAAUGGAAUUGCAAACUGCAAGCAGAUAGCAAGUCAGAAGCAUCAAAGAGUCAUGGAAACCGUCUGCCUCGAUCGUUCCAGGAGAAACUUGAUGAGAGGGCAGCUCGAGGUAUGCUUGAGGUUUCUAUAUAGUACAAUUUCAUUUGUUUGCAAGGCUCCAUUUGGGUGGUAGGUUAAUUAAGUCAUUAGUUUGGGGAAGGAAUACAAUAUGCAUCGACGUUUCACUUCAAUAACUACUAAAUGGAAUAUCUUUCUUUCUUUCUAACUGAAUUGUUGAAUAGAAUUGAGUCAGUAUGUCUAGAUUGCCUAAGCUACCCGUUCAUGUUGUGCUGGGAGUCAGUUGCCAGAAAAAUUUGUGUAAUUGGCUCAAUAGUUUAUGACUAUAUUUAUGUAUACAUAUAUGUUGUGCAGCAAGAAAAGUUUACUUGUGCCUACUAUAUAUAAAGUUUGUUUUCCUUUUUAGUUUUAUGGUUUCGUGAAGAUUUUCUGGAAUUUGCUUGGGCGGCCUCCCGUCCUCCGCAUAUUUAGAUGAUUUACUCAUAUUAGUUUACGCAUGAAUUCGUUAAUUACCCUUUUGUGCUAGGAAUAUAUUCACCGAGUAUGUCGUUGUGUAAUUGUCUUUCAUUUCUGCCUACUUGAUGGGCCUUGAUAUGAUUUUGCAAUGGGAUCAUAACUUUAGCUACCACUAUUUACUAGGGAUAGACGUCCCUGACAAAUUCAAGUUCAAAAAGAAGACGAAGGAAAAGAACAAAAGUCUAUUCCCAUUGAGGAUGGAAUUAUAAUCGAAGAUGAUGACUAGUGAAGACGAUGAUGAUGACUUUGAACCACCAAGUGGUGGAAUUCCAUAUGAUGGAAACUCUACGAAGCCUGAGGAUAUUGCGGAAUGGGUGAGAAUGGGGCUAAAGCUUUGGCGACAAAAUUUGAUAGGAAGGAAAGUUUGUUGCUUAUCUAGUGUUAUGUCUUCUAGAAUUUGUUCCGGUCGUUGUGUAGUGCUAUGUCAUCUGGAACUUGUCGUAUUAAUUAUGUUAUUAUUUAUGUUCAAGAAAUGUACAAGUGUCAUCACUCAUUGUAGUGUUAUGUCUUGUAGAACUCAUCUUACUACAAAAGUGCUGGUGUGUG